CUGUAAAUAUUGAUCAAUUGCAUUUAAUAUUUUGGCUUUGAUCAUCAUGCAUGUGAAUCUUCUUGUUUGCAGUCUUUAGUGACAUCUGGUGGAGAGGGACACCAGAAAUUAGGUCAUUUUGGGAGGCGCUGGUUCCUGAUUAUGUUCACCUGAGUACUGCGCUGCUGCCAAACCCUUUCCAGUUUCAAGAGCUCACGGCGACAGCUUUUUUCAAUAUACAAUGGAUAUAGUGAGUUUUGUGAAGUACAUGGUGUGUCCCGUGAAAAUGAACAGGACGGAGAUGAUGACAAGGAUGCCGAAGUGUUGUGGCUGGGGUGCAGAGAUGACCAUGAGGAAGUGCAGCAGGUCCAUCAGGUAGUUCAUAGAACUCUGGACUCCAUUCACC